rnacentral:rRNA from 1 species
GUGCCUUGGCAAGUUUGAUCCUGGCUCAGGACGAACGCUGGCGGCGUGCUUAACACAUGCAAGUCGAACGGUGAAGGGAGCUUGCUCCUGGAUCAGUGGCGAACGGGUGAGUAACACGUGAGUAACCUGCCCCAGACUCUGGGAUAACUGUUAGAAAUGAUAGCUAAUACCGGAUAUUCAGCUUUGAAGGCAUCUUCUUGGUUGGAAAGUUUUUUCGGUUUGGGAUGGACUCGCGGCCUAUCAGCUUGUUGGUGAGGUAAUGGCUCACCAAGGCUUCGACGGGUAGCCGGCCUGAGAGGGCGACCGGCCACACUGGGACUGAGAUACGGCCCAGACUCCUACGGGAGGCAGCAGUGGGGAAUAUUGCACAAUGGGCGAAAGCCUGAUGCAGCAACGCCGCGUGCGGGAUGAAGGCCUUCGGGUUGUAAACCGCUUUCAGCAGGGACGAAGUGAAAAUGACGGUACCUGCAGAAGAAGCACCGGCUAACUACGUGCCAGCAGCCGCGGUAA